UGGGGAAUUUUGGACAAUGGGGGCAACCCUGAUCCAGCGAUGCCGCGUGCAGGACGAAGGCCUUCGGGUUGUAAACUGCUUUUGUACGGGGAGAAAGGUUCUGGGUUAAUACCCUGGGGUGAUGACGGUACCGUAAGAAUAAGCACCGGCUAACUACGUGCCAGCAGCCGCGGUAAUACGUAGGGUGCGAGCGUUAAUCGGAAUUACUGGGCGUAAAGCGUGCGCAGGCGGUUUUGUAAGACAGGUGUGAAAUCCCCGGGCUUAACCUGGGAACGGCAUUUGUGACUGCAAGGCUAGAGUGCGGCAGAGGGAGAUGGAAUUCCGCGUGUAGCAGUGAAAUGCGUAGAUAUGCGGAGGAACACCAAUGGCGAAGGCAGCUCUCUAAGCUACAUCUGACGCUGAGGCACGGAAGCGUGGGGAUCAAACA
rnacentral:rRNA from 1 species